UACAGAGGGUGCAAGCGUUGUCCGGAAUUAUUGGGCGUAAAGAGCGCGCAGGCGGUCUAUCAAGUCAGAUGUGAAAUAUCCAGGCUUAACCUAGAGGGGUCAUUUGAAACUGGUAGACUAGAGUACAGCAGAGGAUAGUGGAAUUCCCGGUGUAGUGGUGAAAUGCGUAGAUAUCGAGAGGAACACCAGUGGCGAAGGCGACUAUCUGGGCUGAAACUGACGCUGAGGCGCGAAGGCUAGGGGAGCAAACGGG
rnacentral:rRNA from 1 species